AGCGAACGCUGGCGGUAGGCCUAACACAUGCAAGUCGAACGGCAGCACAGUAAGAGCUUGCUCUUACGGGUGGCGAGUGGCGGACGGGUGAGGAAUACAUCGGAAUCUACUUUUUCGUGGGGGAUAACGUAGGGAAACUUACGCUAAUACCGCAUACGACCUACGGGUGAAAGCAGGGGAUCUUCGGACCUUGCGCGAUUGAAUGAGCCGAUGUCGGAUUAGCUAGUUGGCGGGGUAAAGGCCCACCAAGGCGACGAUCCGUAGCUGGUCUGAGAGGAUGAUCAGCCACACUGGAACUGAGACACGGUCCAGACUCCUACGGGAGGCAGCAGUGGGGAAUAUUGGACAAUGGGCGCAAGCCUGAUCCAGCCAUACCGAGUGGGUGAAGAAGGCGUUCGGGUUGUAAAGCCCUUUUGUUGGUAAAGAAAAGCAGCAGGUUAAUACCCCGCUGUUCUGACGGUACCCAAAGAAUAAGCACCGGCUAACUUCGUG
rnacentral:rRNA from 1 species